UACGUAGGGGGCAAGCGUUGUCCGGAUUUAUUGGGCGUAAAGAGCGUGUAGGCGGUUUGGUAGGUCCGCUGUGAAAACUCGAGGCUCAACCUCGAGACGCCGGUGGAAACCAUCAGACUAGAGUCCGGAAGAGGAGAGUGGAAUUCCUGGUGUAGCGGUGAAAUGCGCAGAUAUCAGGAAGAACACCCGUGGCUAAGGCGGCUCUCUAGUACGGCACUGACGCUGAGACGCGAAAGCGUGGGGAGCGAACAGG
rnacentral:rRNA from 1 species